rnacentral:lncRNA from 1 species
UGAUGCUGUUUGAAACCUAUAUUCAAUUAAGAGAUUUAAGCCUCCAUUUUUAUGUAGGAAGAGGCAGAAUCAUGUCACGAUGCAGUCUGCGAUUGGACAACAGCCUGCCAAUCAGCAGCUCCUCCUUCAGUGUGGGAGCAUCCAGCAGGAGCAGGUCUCUGCGUCUCCGUCGCUCCUCCCUCUCUGAGUCCCUCCUCCGUCCUCCUGCUGGCAGGUCGUCUCUCCUGAGCAGCAGCAGUGAUGUGUCUGAUGCGUCUCUGCUCUCGUCCCUCCUGGAUGAAUCCUCCUUUCAGGAAUCCACGCUGCUCCAGUCCUUCUGGGGUUUGGAUCAUGACGUCGAUGCUAACGGGGGCGCCAUCGUGUCCCAGCAGACUGCUGCCCACGUCACAGCAGACGUACGGCCACCCUGUAGGAGCUACUGCGACUCUUCUUCUGAGGAAACGGAAACCUGCACCAUUUACACCAGGGGGCGGAGCCGACGCAGCCGCACAGAUGUCGUACUAUCGGGGGUGCAGAGAUCCAGUAGAGCCGCCGCCCACUUUCUGUCACUACCUGUACUCACCUGUUGGGCGUGGCUGAGGUCAAAGGUCACAGACGGAGGAGGAGCUUCCUGUGACCUCGACGCCACAAUGACCCCAGAGGACGAGGGACACGCACACGACUCUCUGUGUGAGUAG